GACGGGCCCCGCACAAGCAGCGGAGCGUGUGGUUUAAUUCGAUGUUACACGAAGAACCUUACCAGGGUUUGACAUGCAAGUGGUAGGAAGCCGAAAGGUGACCGACCUUCGGGGAGCUUGCACAGGUGCCGCAUGGCUGUCGUCAGCUCGUGUCGUGAGAUGUUCGGUUAAGUCCGCUAACGAGCGCAACCCUCGCUGUGUGUUAUAUGUGUCACACGGGACUGCCGGUCUUAAGCCGGAGGAAGGUGGGGAUGAUGUCAAGUCAGCAUGGCCUUUAUAUCCUGGGCUACACACACGCUACAAUGGCCAACACAAUAGGUUGCUAAGCCGCGAGGUGGCGCCAAUCCAUAAAGUUGGUCUCAGUUCAGAUUGUAGGCUGCAACCCGCCUGCAUGAAGAUGGAGUUGCUAGUAACCGCAGGUCAGCUAUACUGCGGUGAAUACGUUCCCGGGGCUU
rnacentral:rRNA from 1 species